rnacentral:snoRNA from 1 species
GAUUGAUAUGAUGAUUAGAUUAAUUUCCCUAUUGGUUUGAUUGCCGAUAUGAUGGCACAUCAUGUAUUAGCUCUAUCUGAUCAUUC